rnacentral:lncRNA from 1 species
UUCAUGGUCAUCAGUCCUAUAACAUAAGACAUAUUGGGUUAAUAAUUGUUUGCAUUCAACAUUUUUUAUCAGAUAUUUUUUUUAAUUUUUAUCAAUGUGGAACAAAACAAAUAUCCAAUAAUAAAUGUUGAAUGCAAACCAUAUGAACCUACAAAGUCUAACAUAAUAGUACUACAUAGUGAAAGGAAUGACAAUACAAUUAAAUAUUUAU